CUGAACAACUCAAAGCGGUGAUGCUACGUCACGAUGCUCCCGUGCGCGUGUCGUUGCUCAUGCCCAUUCCUAGU
rnacentral:sRNA from 1 species